GACGAACGCUGGCGGCGUGCUUAACACAUGCAAGUCGAACGAAGUGGCGCACGGGUGAGUAACGUGUAAUCAACCUGCCCUUCAGAGGGGGACAACAGUUUGAAACGACUGCUAAUACCGCAUACUGAAGUUGGGGAUUGCGUUGGAUUAGCUCGUUGGAGGGGUAACGGCCCACCAAGGCGGAGAUCAGUAGGCGGGCUGGAGGGAGUGACGGCCAAAUUGGGAAUUGGGAACGGCCCAGAAUCCUACGGGAGGCAACAGGGGGGAAUCUUCCGAAAUGGGGGGAAGUCUGACGGAGCAACGCCGCGGGAGGGAUGACGGCCUUCGGGUUGUAAAGCUCUGUUAAGCGGGGCGCGGUACCGGAAGAGAAAGCAACGGCUAACUACGUGCCAGCAGCCGCGGUAAUUC
rnacentral:rRNA from 1 species